UACGGAGGAUCCGAGCGUUAUCCGGAAUCAUUGGGUUUAAAGGGUCCGUAGGCGGGCAUCUAAGUCAGUGGUGAAAUCCGGCAGCUCAACUGUCGAACUGCCAUUGAUACUGGAUGUCUUGAAUUACUGUGAAGUGGUUAGAAUAUGUAGUGUAGCGGUGAAAUGCUUAGAUAUUACAUGGAAUACCAAUUGCGAAGGCAGAUCACUAACAGUAUAUUGACGCUGAGGGACGAAAGCGUGGGUAG
rnacentral:rRNA from 1 species